UACGUAGGGUGCAAGCGUUGUCCGGAAUUAUUGGGCGUAAAGGGCUCGUAGGCGGUCCAUCGCGUCGGGAGUGAAAAGCUGGGGCUUAACCCCAGUCCUGCUUCCGAUACGGGUGGACUAGAGGUAGGUAGGGGAGAACGGAAUUCCUGGUGUAGCGGUGAAAUGCGCAGAUAUCAGGAGGAACACCGGUGGCGAAGGCGGCGACCUGGGUCGAGACUGACGCUGAGGCGCGAAAGCGUGGGGAGCAAACAGG
rnacentral:rRNA from 1 species